GAAGAAGAGGCGGGUGGGGGGGGGACCCUCUGGUCAGGGGAACUCUGGGUCGUGAAAAUAGGCCACGUGAACACGCUGCCCUAUAGACUUAUGACCCAACGGCUGUCGCGCACUUGGAGGGCGGGCCAAGAAUCUAAGAGGGCGAGCGUCAUUGGCCAGAAUACUCACUGAAGGAGGAAGAUGAUUGGUUCGUUUUAGGCCUUAGCCAUGAAGAAGCAAGUUGCUACACCCGCCUUUACUGCGGCGAAGUGUCAUUGCUGACGUGAGAAUCGUGAUCCAAUCAUUUGGUUAUGGAACAUUCUAAAACUUAGAGGAGACGGUUAUGAUUGGCUGAAGGGCAUAAGCCCGCCUCCCGGGUGACGUGUCUGCGUAUGGAUAUCAGUUGCCAGAGAAACCUGGCUUUACUAUGGCGGUUGGAGGAACGGCAGUGAUCACACGUCUGCUGCUGGAAAGAACUGGAUUCUCGUUUCAGGUCACCAUCAGAAAAGCUAAGUUUGCUAUACAGUAAGGAUCAGGAGAUCUGAUCCUGAUUGCAGAGCCACCCCUGAUUGCAGAAUCCUGGGUAAGUGACUUCUCCUGGCCUCAGUUCUCAAGCAAAAUAAAACCACCUGACCUUUCCA
rnacentral:lncRNA from 1 species